ensembl:ncRNA lncRNA:CR44499 long non-coding RNA:CR44499
GCUUUUUGCGGAUGGGAGCGUACAUUGGGUUGGGCGUCGCAGGACAAGUCUAAUGUGCCAGACAGUAGAAGUAAACUAAAGAGUCCUGGGAUUAUAAAUAUUGAUUUGUUUACUCUUCAAGCCACCUCAUCACAAAAUCAAUGCAUCAUAACUUGGCUAAAACAAGUCGUAUCUUCAAAUGUUAUACCUUCCCGAACUCAGCUCGUGCCGUACUAACAUCGUAUAUUCGAAACUGGACU